GUGGGGAAUCUUAGACAAUGGGGGAAACCCUGAUCUAGCCAUGCCGCGUGAGCGAUGAAGGCCUUAGGGUUGUAAAGCUCUUUCAGCUGGGAAGAUAAUGACGGUACCAGCAGAAGAAGCCCCGGCUAACUCCGUGCCAGCAGCCGCGGUAAUACGGAGGGGGCUAGCGUUGUUCGGAAUUACUGGGCGUAAAGCGCACGUAGGCGGACCGGAAAGUCAGAGGUGAAAUCCCAGGGCUCAACCUUGGAACUGCCUUUGAAACUCCUGGUCUUGAGGUCGAGAGAGGUGAGUGGAAUUCCGAGUGUAGAGGUGAAAUUCGUAGAUAUUCGGAGGAACACCAGUGGCGAAGGCGGCUCACUGGCUCGAUACUGACGCUGAGGUGCGAAAGCGUGGGGAGCAAACAGGAUUAGAUACCCCGGUAGUCC
rnacentral:rRNA from 1 species